rnacentral:rRNA from 1 species
UACAGAGGUGGCAAGCGUUGUUCGGAAUUACUGGGCGUAAAGGGUGCGUAGGCGGUCUGUUAAGUUGGAUGUGAAAACUCUGGGCUCAACCCAGAGCCUGCAUCCAAAACUGGCAGGCUAGAGUUCUGGAGGGGGUAGCGGAAUUCCUGGUGUAGCGGUGAAAUGCGUAGAUAUCAGGAGGAACACCGGUGGCGAAGGCGGUUCUCUGGGCAUUACCUGACGCUGAGGAGCGGAAGUGUGGGGAGCGAACAGG